rnacentral:rRNA from 1 species
CCUACGGGUGGCAGCAGUGGGGAAUAUUGCACAAUGGGGGAAACCCUGAUGCAGCGACGCCGCGUGAAGGAAGAAGUAUUUCGGUAUGUAAACUUCUAUCAGCAGGGAAGAAAAUGACGGUACCUGACUAAGAAGCCCCGGCUAACUACGUGCCAGCAGCCGCGGUAAUACGUAGGGGGCAAGCGUUAUCCGGAUUUACUGGGUGUAAAGGGAGCGUAGACGGCAUGGCAAGUCUGGUGGGAAAGGCUGGGGCUCAACCCCUGGACUGCAUUGGAAACUGUCAGGCUGGAGUGCAGGAGAGGUAAGUGGAAUUCCUAGUGUAGCGGUGAAAUGCGUAGAUAUUAGGAGGAACACCAGUGGCGAAGGCGACUUACUGGACUGUAACUGACGUUGAGGCUCGAAAGCGUGGGGAGCAAACAGGAUUAGAUACCCGGGUAGUC